GCCAUAUCCUCGUUCCCAAUCCCUCUUCGCUAGUGUGUCUGGCAGAUGCAAAACACUGCAGUGCCCAAUAUGUCUUAAACAAUAUCUCCUGUGCAUGUUAAGGAUAAAUGAAACCAGGAGCAAAUCAAGUUUAAGAUUAAUUUGUGCUUGUUUAUACACAGCAACGUGAUGUCGUUCAUAAACCUUUGAACUAUUUAGAAAAAAAUACUUCAC